UGGGGAACAUUGGACAAUGGGCGCAAGCCUGAUCCAGCCAUGCCGCGUGUGUGAAGAAGGCCUUAUGGUUGUAAAGCACUUUAAGCGAGGAGGAGGCUACUUUAGUUAAUACCUAGAGAUAGUGGACGUUACUCGCAGAAUAAGCACCGGCUAACUCUGUGCCAGCAGCCGCGGUAAUACAGAGGGUGCAAGCGUUAAUCGGAUUUACUGGGCGUAAAGCGCGCGUAGGCGGCUAAUUAAGUCAAAUGUGAAAUCCCCGAGCUUAACUUGGGAAUUGCAUUCGAUACUGGUUAGCUAGAGUGUGGGAGAGGAUGGUAGAAUUCCAGGUGUAGCGGUGAAAUGCGUAGAGAUCUGGAGGAAUACCGAUGGCGAAGGCAGCCAUCUGGCCUAACACUGACGCUGAGGUGCGAAAGCAUGGGGAGCAAACAGG
rnacentral:rRNA from 1 species